GGGUUGUGAGGUUAAGCGACUAAGCGUACACGGUGGAUGCCCUGGCAGUCAGAGGCGAUGAAGGACGUGCUAAUCUGCGAUAAGCGUCGGUAAGGUGAUAUGAACCGUUAUAACCGGCGAUUUCCGAAUGGGGAAACCCAGUGUGAUUCGUCACACUAUCAUUAACUGAAUCCAUAGGUUAAUGAGGCGAACCGGGGGAACUGAAACAUCUAAGUACCCCGAGGAAAAGAAAUCAACCGAGAUUCCCCCAGUAGCGGCGAGCGAACGGGGAGCAGCCCAGAGCCUGAAUCAGUGUGUGUGUUAGUGGAAGCGUCUGGAAAGGCGCGCGAUACAGGGUGACAGCCCCGUACACAAAAAUGCACAUGCUGUGAGCUCGAUGAGUAGGGCGGGACACGUGGUAUCCUGUCUGAAUAUGGGGGGACCAUCCUCCAAGGCUAAAUACUCCUGACUGACCGAUAGUGAACCAGUACCGUGAGGGAAAGGCGAAAAGAACCCCGGCGAGGGGAGUGAAAAAGAACCUGAAACCGUGUACGUACAAGCAGUGGGAGCACAGAGCAAUCUGUUUGACUGCGUACCUUUUGUAUAAUGGGUCAGCGACUUAUAUUCUGUAGCAAGGUUAACCGAAUAGGGGAGCCGAAGGGAAACCGAGUCUUAACUGGGCGUUAAGUUGCAGGGUAUAGACCCGAAACCCGGUGAUCUAGCCAUGGGCAGGUUGAAGGUUGGGUAACACUAACUGGAGGACCGAACCGACUAAUGUUGAAAAAUUAGCGGAUGACUUGUGGCUGGGGGUGAAAGGCCAAUCAAACCGGGAGAUAGCUGGUUCUCCCCGAAAGCUAUUUAGGUAGCGCCUCGUGAAUUCAUCUCCGGGGGUAGAGCACUGUUUCGGCAAGGGGGUCAUCCCGACUUACCAACCCGAUGCAAACUGCGAAUACCGGAGAAUGUUAUCACGGGAGACACACGGCGGGUGCUAACGUCCGUCGUGAAGAGGGAAACAACCCAGACCGCCAGCUAAGGUCCCAAAGUCAUGGUUAAGUGGGAAACGAUGUGGGAAGGCCCAGACAGCCAGGAUGUUGGCUUAGAAGCAGCCAUCAUUUAAAGAAAGCGUAAUAGCUCACUGGUCGAGUCGGCCUGCGCGGAAGAUGUAACGGGGCUAAACCAUGCACCGAAGCUGCGGCAGCGACGCUUAUGCGUUGUUGGGUAGGGGAGCGUUCUGUAAGCCUGCGAAGGUGUGCUGUGAGGCAUGCUGGAGGUAUCAGAAGUGCGAAUGCUGACAUAAGUAACGAUAAAGCGGGUGAAAAGCCCGCUCGCCGGAAGACCAAGGGUUCCUGUCCAACGUUAAUCGGGGCAGGGUGAGUCGACCCCUAAGGCGAGGCCGAAAGGCGUAGUCGAUGGGAAACAGGUUAAUAUUCCUGUACUUGGUGUUACUGCGAAGGGGGGACGGAGAAGGCUAUGUUGGCCGGGCGACGGUUGUCCCGGUUUAAGCGUGUAGGCUGGUUUUCCAGGCAAAUCCGGAAAAUCAAGGCUGAGGCGUGAUGACGAGGCACUACGGUGCUGAAGCAACAAAUGCCCUGCUUCCAGGAAAAGCCUCUAAGCAUCAGGUAACAUCAAAUCGUACCCCAAACCGACACAGGUGGUCAGGUAGAGAAUACCAAGGCGCUUGAGAGAACUCGGGUGAAGGAACUAGGCAAAAUGGUGCCGUAACUUCGGGAGAAGGCACGCUGAUAUGUAGGUGAAGCGACUUGCUCGUGGAGCUGAAAUCAGUCGAAGAUACCAGCUGGCUGCAACUGUUUAUUAAAAACACAGCACUGUGCAAACACGAAAGUGGACGUAUACGGUGUGACGCCUGCCCGGUGCCGGAAGGUUAAUUGAUGGGGUCAGCGCAAGCGAAGCUCUUGAUCGAAGCCCCGGUAAACGGCGGCCGUAACUAUAACGGUCCUAAGGUAGCGAAAUUCCUUGUCGGGUAAGUUCCGACCUGCACGAAUGGCGUAAUGAUGGCCAGGCUGUCUCCACCCGAGACUCAGUGAAAUUGAACUCGCUGUGAAGAUGCAGUGUACCCGCGGCAAGACGGAAAGACCCCGUGAACCUUUACUAUAGCUUGACACUGAACAUUGAGCCUUGAUGUGUAGGAUAGGUGGGAGGCUUUGAAGUGUGGACGCCAGUCUGCAUGGAGCCGACCUUGAAAUACCACCCUUUAAUGUUUGAUGUUCUAACGUUGACCCGUAAUCCGGGUUGCGGACAGUGUCUGGUGGGUAGUUUGACUGGGGCGGUCUCCUCCUAAAGAGUAACGGAGGAGCACGAAGGUUGGCUAAUCCUGGUCGGACAUCAGGAGGUUAGUGCAAUGGCAUAAGCCAGCUUGACUGCGAGCGUGACGGCGCGAGCAGGUGCGAAAGCAGGUCAUAGUGAUCCGGUGGUUCUGAAUGGAAGGGCCAUCGCUCAACGGAUAAAAGGUACUCCGGGGAUAACAGGCUGAUACCGCCCAAGAGUUCAUAUCGACGGCGGUGUUUGGCACCUCGAUGUCGGCUCAUCACAUCCUGGGGCUGAAGUAGGUCCCAAGGGUAUGGCUGUUCGCCAUUUAAAGUGGUACGCGAGCUGGGUUUAGAACGUCGUGAGACAGUUCGGUCCCUAUCUGCCGUGGGCGCUGGAGAAUUGAGGGGGGCUGCUCCUAGUACGAGAGGACCGGAGUGGACGCAUCACUGGUGUUCGGGUUGUCAUGCCAAUGGCACUGCCCGGUAGCUAAAUGCGGAAGAGAUAAGUGCUGAAAGCAUCUAAGCACGAAACUUGCCCCGAGAUGAGUUCUCCCUGACUCCUUGAGAGUCCUGAAGGAACGUUGAAGACGACGACGUUGAUAGGCCGGGUGUGUAAGCGCAGCGAUGCGUUGAGCUAACCGGUACUAAUGAACCGUGAGGCUUAACCUUACAACGCCGAAG
rnacentral:rRNA from 1 species